rnacentral:tRNA from 1 species
GGAUUGUGGCUCAGUGGUAGAGCACUUGCCUAGUAUGUGUGAGGCCCUGGGUUUGAGUCUCAGCACCA